UACGUAGGGUGCAAGCGUUAUCCGGAAUUAUUGGGCGUAAAGAGCUCGUAGGCGGUUUGUCGCGUCUGCCGUGAAAGUCCGGGGCUCAACUCCGGAUCUGCGGUGGGUACGGGCAGACUAGAGUGAUGUAGGGGAGACUGGAAUUCCUGGUGUAGCGGUGAAAUGCGCAGAUAUCAGGAGGAACACCGAUGGCGAAGGCAGGUCUCUGGGCAUUAACUGACGCUGAGGAGCGAAAGCGUGGGGAUCAAACAGG
rnacentral:rRNA from 1 species